rnacentral:rRNA from 1 species
UACAGAGGUCUCAAGCGUUGUUCGGAUUCAUUGGGCGUAAAGGGUGCGUAGGCGGCGCGGUAAGUCGGGUGUGAAAUCUCGGAGCUUAACUCCGAAACUGCAUUCGAUACUGCCGUGCUUUGAGGACUGGAGAGGAGACUGGAAUUUACGGUGUAGCGGUGAAAUGCGCAGAUAUCAGGAAGAACACCCGUGGCGAAGGCGGCUCUCUGGGACGGUACUGACGCUGAGACGCGAAAGCGUGGGGAGCAAACAGG